rnacentral:rRNA from 2 species
UUGCCUCAGUAACGGCGAGUGAAGCGGCAACAGCUCAAAUUUGAAAUCUGGCCUCGGCCCGAGUUGUAAUUUGUAGAGGAAGCUUUUGGCACGGCCCCCGCUAAGUCCCCUGGAACGGGGCGCUAUAAAGGGUGAGAGCCCCGUAUAGCUGGACGCCUGGCCUCUGUAAAGCUCCUUCGACGAGUCGAGUAGUUUGGGAAUGCUGCUCAAAAUGGGAGGUAAAUUUCUCCUAAAGCUAAAUACCGGCCAGAGACCGAUAGCGCACAAGUAGAGUGAUCGAAAGAUGAAAAGCACUUUGAAAAGAGGGUUAAAUAGCACGUGAAAUUGUUGAAAGGGAAGCGCUUGUGACCAGACUUGCGCCGGGCUGAUCAUCCGGAGUUCUCUCCGGUGCACUCUGCCCGGCUCAGGCCAGCAUCGGUUCUCGCGGGGGGAGAAAGGCCCUGGGAACGUAGCUCCUCCGGGAGUGUUAUAGCCCGGGGCGUAAUGCCCUCGCGGGGACCGAGGACCGCGCUUCGGCAAGGAUGCUGGCGUAAUGGUCAUCAGCGACCCGUCUUGAAACACGGACCAAGGAGUCAAGGUUUUGCGCGAGUGUUUGGGUGUAAAACCCGCACGCGUAAUGAAAGUGAACGUAGGUGAGAGCUUCGGCGCAUCAUCGACCGAUCCUGAUGUAUUCGGAUGGAUUUGAGUAGGAGCGUUAAGCCUUGGACCCGAAAGAUGGUGAACUAUGCUUGGAUAGGGUGAAGCCAGAGGAAACUCUGGUGGAGGCUCGCAGCGGUUCUGACGUGCAAAUCGAUCGUCAAAUCUGAGCAUGGGGGCGAAAGACUAAUCGAACCAUCUAGUAGCUGGUUACCGCCGAAGUUUCCCUCAGGAUAGCAGUGUUGUUCUUCAGUUUUAUGAGGUAAAGCGAAUGAUUAGGGACUCGGGGGCGAUUUUUAGCCUUCAUCCAUUCUCAAACUUUAAAUAUGUAAGAAGCCCUUGUUACUUAGUUGAACGUGGGCAUU